UUUUCCGCAAAGACGAAAACAACGAAGAAGUAUAUAAGUUCGUUGUUACUAAAUAUCUGUGAUAUUUAGCUUUGGAAGUUGAUUUUUUUAUGUUUGAUUAUAAAUAUGAUAUCGUUAUGAAACGUGCGCUGCCAAAUUCUUUGAUGGCCCCGAAGGACUGAGAUGUUGGUUACGAUAGCACUAGCUGGAGCGCCUUAUUGUUGCCACCGAGCUGGGUUAUUCACAUCGUAUUUCGCAGUGUUUGCAGCAAGAUUAGUGAAAAUGUCUAAAGGAAAUUUAAACUCAAAAUAAACUAAAUUCAACAAAUAUUA